GGGAAAGUGGCUCAGUGGUAGAGCGCUUGCCUUGCCUGCAUGAGGCCCUGAGUUCGAUUCCUCAGCACCA
rnacentral:tRNA from 1 species